rfam:Triticum aestivum genome assembly, contig: Triticum_aestivum_CS42_TGACv1_scaffold_062569_1DL
GCUCAGUUGGUAAAAGCACAAAGCUCUUAACCUUGUGGACGUGGGUUCAAGCCCCAU